UUUUUUUCGGAGAGGCUUAUUCAUGGAGCCUCAGUCAGAGCCAAAAAAAAAAAAAAGUAUAAUCGGCAUUUUAAUCACACGUUGAGGUCCCCGAACCUCGUUGAAGAAAAAACCUUAGCUAUAAAGCUUUCCCUUGCCUCUCUCUAACCUUUGCAACUCUCUGUCAACCUCUCAUCUCUCUCUAGCCUUUGUAACGAUCACUCUCUCAACCUCUUGCCCCGCUCUCUCUCCCCCUCUCUAUCUUCAUCUGGAUAGACUUCCCCUUCUCUCUCUAAUAAGCCCUCUUUUUCUGGUUAAACCCCGCUAUCUCACUCUCUCUAUCGUUAAACCUCACCUUUCCAAAGCCAAAAGCUUCCUCUCCUACAACCCUCAAAAUUCAGAUAUCUCAAAAUCUGAACAUAGUCCCUCUCAAGGAAACCGUGUCUGCCCUAAUCUCCAAGCUUGCAGAUAGUCCGUACAAGGUUCAAGAUAUUUCUUACUAAUCAAACCAAAGAACACUCCAUCAUGCCAACCCCUCAAGCAUUAGAAAAUUCCGAGAGUAUAUAUUGGCCGCAACCCUAGGGUGCAUAUGACGUGGGCAGAAAACUCCAGACAAGUGGUAGGCUACUCAAAUGCCAUGCAUUGCACCUGCCCCACUAUAGAAGAGGCAGUAACACAAUUUCAAGAUUAUCAAAGUCGCCAUGGACGUGUAGUUGUUCCUACAAAUGGGGGACCCAUAGUUGGACCUACAAAUAGGAGUGUAUUUGAAGAUAAUCACAUUCGUACAAUGCUUAUAUGCAUAAUCAUAUUGUAUUUUUCUUCUAUUGUGAAUUAUUUUUCAUUACUACUCUAAGCUAAACUAGAUCUUGGUACAAACUAAUUCUCCUUAUCUCAAUAUGGACUUUGGAGUGUAUUGUAUGAAAUAGGCGUGAAUGUAAAAGUAUUUUAUUUCAUUUA